GUGUUCCCUUUCGGCAGUGCAUAUACUAAAAUUGGAACGAAACAGAUUAGCAUGGCCUCUGCGUAAGAAUGACAUGAAAAUUCAUGAACUGUUCAAUGUUUUU
rnacentral:snRNA from 1 species